GCUUGGGAAUAUGCCUUAGGGUGGGGGACAUCAGUUGGAAACGACUGCUAAUACCGCAUAACGUCUACGGACCAAAGGGGGCUUCGGCUCUCGCCCUUAGAUUAGCCCAAGUGGGAUUAGCUAGUUGGUGAGGUAAUGGCUCACCAAGGCGACGAUCCCUAGCUGGUUUGAGAGGAUGAUCAGCCACACUGGAACUGAGACACGGUCCAGACUCCUACGGGAGGCAGCAGUGGGGAAUAUUGCACAAUGGGCGCAAGCCUGAUGCAGCCAUGCCGCGUGUGUGAAGAAGGCCUUAGGGUUGUAAAGCACUUUCAGUAAGGAGGAAAGGUUAGUAGUUAAUACCUGCUAGCUGUGACGUUACUUACAGAANAAGCACCGGCUAACUCCGUGCCAGCAGCCGCGGUAAUACGGAGGGUGCGAGCGUUAAUCGGAAUUACUGGGCGUAAAGCGUACGCAGGCGGUUUGUUAAGCGAGAUGUGAAAGCCCCGGGCUCAACCUGGGAACUGCAUUUCGAACUGGCAAACUACAGUAUGAUAGAGGGUGGUAGAAUUUCAGGUGUAGCGGUGAAAUGCGUAGAGAUCUGAAGGAAUACCCGAUGGC
rnacentral:rRNA from 1 species